rnacentral:rRNA from 1 species
UUAGGACGAACGCUGGCGGCGUGCCUAAUACAUGCAAGUCGAACGGUCCUUUCUAUGGAAGCUUGCUUCCACUGAGAAGAUAGUGGCGAACGGGUGAGUAACACGUGGGGUAACCUGCCCAUAAGAGGGGGGAUAACAUCCGGAAACGGGUGCUAAUACCGCAUAGUUUUCUUGAUUGCAUGAUUGAGAAAGGAAAGACGGCCUUUGUGCUGUCGCUUAUGGAUGGACCCGCGGCGUAUUAGUUAGUUGGUGAGGUAACGGCUCACCAAGACGAUGAUACGUAGCCGACCUGAGAGGGUGAUCGGCCACAUUGGGACUGAGACACGGCCCAAACUCCUACGGGAGGCAGCAGUAGGGAAUCUUCCGCAAUGGACGAAAGUCUGACGGAGCAACGCCGCGUGAGUGAAGAAAGGUUUUCGGAUCGUAAAACUCUGUUGUCAGAGAAGAACAAGUUGGAGAGUAACUGCUCCAGCCUUGACGGUAUCUGACCAGAAAGCCACGGCUAACUACGUGCCAGCAGCCGC